rnacentral:rRNA from 1 species
UGCGUAGGCGGCGCGGUAAGUCGGGUGUGAAAUCUCGGAGCUUAACUCCGAAACUGCAUUCGAUACUGCCGUGCUGGAGGACUGGAGAGGAGACUGGAAUUUACGGUGUAGCGGUGAAAUGCGUAGAUAUCGUAAGGAAGACCAGUGGCGAAGGCGGGUCUCUGGACAGUUCCUGACGCUGAGGCACGAAGGGUCAGGGAAGGCAAACG